UGUCUCUCCACACUAUAGUACUGCUGUCAUGUUCCAGGUGUGAUCUAGUUCUAAUCAGAAUGUCUCUCCACACUACAGUACUGCUGUCAUGUUCCAGGUGUGAUCUAGUUCUAAUCAGAAUGUCUCUCCACUCUACAGUACUGCUGUCAUGUUCCAGGUGUGAUCUAGUUCUAAUCAGAAUGUCUCUCCACACUACAGUACUGCUGUCAUGUUCCAGGUGUGAUCUAGUUCUAAUCAGAAUGUCUCUCCACACUACAGUACUGCUGUCAUGUUCCAGGUGUGAUCUAGUUCUAAUCAGAAUGUCUCUCCACACUACAGUACUGCUGUCAUGUUCCAGGUGUGAUCUAGUUCUAAUCAGAAUGUCUCUCCACACUACAGUACUGCUGUCAUGUUCCAGGUGUGAUCUAGUUCUAAUCAGAAUGUCUCUCCACACUACAGUACUGCUGUCGCGUUCCAGGUGUGAUCUAGUUCUAAUCAGAAUGUCUCUCCACUCUACAGUACUGCUGUCAUGUUCCAGGUGUGAUCUAGUUCUAAUCAGAAUGUCUCUCCACACUACAGUACUGCUGUCAUGUUCCAGGUGUGAUCUAGUUCUAAUCAGAAUGUCUCUCCACACUACAGUACUGUUGUCAUGUUCCAGGUGUGAUCUAGUUCUAAUCAGAAUGUCUCUCCACUCUACAGUACUGCUGUCAUGUUCCAGGUGUGAUCUAGUUCUAAUCAGAAUGUCUCUCCACACUAUAGUACUGUUAUGUUCCAGGUGUGAUCUAGUUCUAAUCUGAAUGUCUCUCCACAGUACUGCUUUCAUUUUCCAGGUGUGAUCUAGUUCUAAUCUGAAUGUCUCUCCACAGUACUGCUGUCAUGUUCCAGGUGUGAUCUAGUUCUAAUCAGAAUGUCUCUCCACUCUACAGUACUGUUGUCAUGUUCCAGGUGUGAUCUAGUUCUAAUCAGAAUGUCUCUCCACACUAUAGUACUGUUAUGUUCCAGGUGUGAUCUAGUUCUAAUCUGAAUGUCUCUCCACAGUACUGCUUUCAUGUUCCAGGUGUGAUCUAGUUCUAAUCUGAAUGUCUCUCCACAGUACUGCUGUCAUGUUCCAGGUGUGAUCUAGUUCUAAUCUGAAUGUCUCUCCACAGUACUGCUUUCAUGUUCCAGGUGUGAUCUAGUUCUAAUCUGAAUGUCUCUCCACAGUACUGCUGUCAUGUUCCAGGUGUGAUCUAGUUCUAAUCUGAAUGUCUCUCCACUCCACAGUACUGCUGUCGUG